GACAAGGGGUAACACUCCAAAAUAUGGACUCAUUUUCCACUCCACCUUCAUUGGCCGAGCAGCUGCCAAGAACAAAGGCCGCAUCUCCCGAUACCUGGCAAACAAAUGCAGUAUUGCCUCACGAAUCGAUUGCUUCUCUGAGGUGCCCACGAGUGUAUUUGGCGAGAAGCUUCGAGAACAAGUUGAAGAGCGACUGUCCUUCUAUGAGACUGGAGAGAUACCACGAAAGAAUCUGGAUGUCAUGAAGGAAGCAAUGGUUCAGGUCAGUUGGGCUUUGCUGGGUGUGGAGUGGCAUAGCUAGCUGUUGGAGGUGAUGAACUGUCUGAGCCUGACCUUGUAGAAUGGAGGCAAAAAAACUGAUUUAAUGAGCCUGAUCCAAUAAAGCCAGAAAGGAGUCCUCAGAGCACCAGAGGUCUUCAGGCCCUUUUAGCACUUUUCUUUGACCAGGCAGAGGAAGCGGCUGCUGAGAUUACUAGGAAGCUGGAGAAACAGGAGAAGAAACGCUUAAAGAAGGAAAAGAAACGGCUGGCUGCACUUGCCCUUGCAUCUUCAGAAAACAGCAGUAGUACUCCAGAGGAGUGUGAGGUCAGUA
rnacentral:sRNA from 1 species